rnacentral:rRNA from 1 species
CCUACGGGUGUCAGCAGUCGAGAAUCAUUCACAAUGGGGGAAACCCUGAUGGUGCGACGCCGCGUGGGGGAAUGAAGGUCUGCGGAUUGUAAACCCCUGGCAUGUGGGAUCAAAUUCAAAAGAUAGUACCCCAAGAGGAAGAGACGUCUAACUCUGUGCCAGCAGCCGCGGUAAUACAGAGGUCUCAAGCGUUGUUCGGAAUCCAUGGGCGUAAAGCGUGCGUAGGAUGUUUCGUAAGUCGUGUGUGAAAGGCGCGGGCACAACCAGCGGACGGCACAUGAUACUGCGAGACUAGAGUAAUGGAGGGGGAACCGGAAUUCGCGGUGUAGCAGUGAAAUGCGUAGAUAUCGAGAGGAACACUCGUGGCGAAGGCGGGUUCCUGGACAUUAACUGACGCUGAGGCACGAAGGCCAGGGGAGCGAAAGGGAUUAGAUACCCCUGUAGUC